rnacentral:rRNA from 1 species
ACGGCAGCACGGAGCUUGCUCUGGUGGCGAGUGGCGAACGGGUGAGUAAUAUAUCGGAACGUACCCUGGAGUGGGGGAUAACGUAGCGAAAGUUACGCUAAUACCGCAUACGAUCUAAGGAUGAAAGUGGGGGAUUCGCAAGAACCUCAUGCUCGUGGAGCGGCCGAUAUCUGAUUAGCUAGUUGGUAGGGUAAAAGCCUACCAAGGCAUCGAUCAGUAGCUGGUCUGAGAGGACGACCAGCCACACUGGAACUGAGACACGGUCCAGACUCCUACGGGAGGCAGCAGUGGGGAAUUUUGGACAAUGGGCGCAAGCCUGAUCCAGCAAUGCCGCGUGAGUGAAGAAGGCCUUCGGGUUGUAAAGCUCUUUUGUCAGGGAAGAAACGGUGGGAGCUAAUAUCUCCUGCUAAUGACGGUACCUGAAGAAUAAGCACCGGCUAACUACGUGCCAGCAGCCGCGGUAAUACGUAGGGUGCAAGCGUUAAUCGGAAUUACUGGGCGUAAAGCGUGCGCAGGCGGUUUUGUAGGUCUGAUGUGAAAUCCCCGGGCUCAACCUGGGAAUUGCAUUGGAGACUGCAGGGCUAGAAUCUGGCAGAGGGGGGUAGAAUUCCACGUGUAGCAGUGAAAUGCGUAGAUAUGUGGAGGAACCCCGAUGGCGAAAGCAGCCCCCUGGGUCAAGAUUGACGCUCAUGCACGAAAGCGUGGGGAGCAAACAGGAUUAGAUACCCUGGUAGUCCACGCCCUAAACGAUGUCUACUA